rnacentral:rRNA from 1 species
AUAGAACGCUGGCGGCAGGCAUAACACAUGCAAGUCGAACGGUCACAGGAAGAAGCUUGCUUCUUUGCUGACGAGUGGCGGACGGGUGAGUAAUGUCUGGGAAACUGCCUGAUGGAGGGGGAUAACUACUGGAAACGGUAGCUAAUACCGCAUAACGUCGCAAGACCAAAGAGGGGGACCUUCGGGCCUCUUGCCAUCGGAUGUGCCCAGAUGGGAUUAGCUAGUAGGUGGGGUAACGGCUCACCUAGGCGACGAUCCCUAGCUGGUCUGAGAGGAUGACCAGCCACACUGGAACUGAGACACGGUCCAGACUCCUACGGGAGGCAGCAGUGGGGAAUAUUGCACAAUGGGCGCAAGCCUGAUGCAGCCAUGCCGCGUGUAUGAAGAAGGCCUUCGGGUUGUAAAGUACUUUCAGCGGGGAGGAAGGGAGUAAAGUUAAUACCUUUGCUCAUUGACGUUACCCGCAGAAGAAGCACCGGCUAACUCCGUGCCAGCAGCCGCGGUAAUACGGAGGGUGCAAGCGUUAAUCGGAAUUACUGGGCGUAAAGCGCACGCAGGCGGUUUGUUAAGUCAGAUGUGAAAUCCCCGGGCUCAACCUGGGAACUGCAUCUGAUACUGGCAAGCUUGAGUCUCGUAGAGGGGGGUAGAAUUCCAGGUGUAGCGGUGAAAUGCGUAGAGAUCUGGAGGAAUACCGGUGGCGAAGGCGGCCCCUUGGGAAUGUACUGACGCUCAUGUGCGAAAGCGUGGGGAGCAAACAGG